rnacentral:tRNA from 1 species
UCCCUGGUGGCUCAGAUGGUAAAGAAUCUGCCUGCAAUGCAGGAGACCAGGGUUUGAUCCCUGCUUGGAAA